rnacentral:rRNA from 1 species
GAUGAACGCUGGCGGCGUGCCUAACACAUGCAAGUCGAACGGAAAGACGAAGAGUUUGUGUUUUUGUCGGUAGGGGCGCGGGGGUGUGAAACAUGUGUAGAAAACACCUAUAUGAGGGGGAAAACCUCGAGAAAACGGAGCUUAUAGCGGAGAAUCUUCUGAAGCGCAAGGUGGGAAAGUGAGAGGCGGCCUUGCGGGCUGUUAUCGCGGAUUCCGCGCUGGAUUAGGUUGUUGGUAGGGUAACGGCUUACCAAGGCGACUAUGCAUGGGCGAGUUGAGGGGCUGAUCGGCCACACUGGAACUGAGACACCGUCCAGACUCCUACGGGAGGCAGCAGUCGGGAAUCUUGCGCAAUGGGCGCAAGCCUGACGCAGCAAUGCCGCGUGUGUGACGAAGGCCUUCCGAUCGUAAAGCUCUCUUAUCGGGGAGGAACCGAUUUAUCUUUAGACGUUGCCUUAUUGACGGUACCUGCUCAAGAAGCCCCGGCUAACUACGUG